GACCGGCGCACGGGUGCGUAACGCGUAUACAAUCUACCUUUUACUAAGGGAUAGCCCAUGGAAACGUGGAUUAAUACCUUAUAGUAUGCAGAUCUCGCAUGAGCAUCUGUAUUAAAGUUUACGGUAAAAGAUGAGUAUGCGUCCUAUUAGCUAUUAUGUAGGGUAACGGCCUACAUAGGCUAUGAUAGGUAGGGGUUCUGAGAGGGAAGCCCCCCACACUGGUACUGAGACACGGACCAGACUCCUACGGGAGGCAGCAGUGAGGAAUAUUGGACAAUGGGAGCAAUCCUGAUCCAGCCAUGCCGCGUGCAGGAAGACGGUCCUGUGGAUUGUAAACUGCUUUUAUACAGGAAGAAAAAGACCGACGUGUCGGUUGUUGACGGUACUGUAUGAAUAAGGAUCGGCUAACUCCGUGCCAGCAGCCGCGGUAAUACGGAGGAUCCGAGCGUUAUCCGGAAUUAUUGGGUUUAAAGGGUCCGUAGGCGGGAUAAUAAGUCAGUGGUGAAAGUUUGUGGCUCAACCAUAAAAUUGCCAUUGAUACUGUUAUUCUUGAGUUAUUGUGAAGUGGUUAGAAUGUGUAGUGUAGCGGUGAAAUGCAUAGAUAUUACACAGAAUACCAAUUGCGAAGGCAGAUCACUAACAAUGAACUGACGCUGAUGGACGAAAGCGUAGGUAGCGAACAGGAUUAGAUACCCUGGUAGUCUACGCAGUAAACGAUGGUUACUAGCUGUUCGGUCUAAUUGAGGGCUGAGUGGUUAAGCGAAAGUGAUAAGUAACCCACCUGGGGAGUACGUUCGCAAGAAUGAAACUCAAAGGAAUUGACGGGGGCCCGCACAAGCGGUGGAGCAUGUGGUUUAAUUCGAUGAUACGCGAGGAACCUUACCAGGGCUUAAAUGCAGUUUGACAGGUCUAGAAAUAGAUUUUUCUUCGGACAAAUUGCAAGGUGCUGCAUGGUUGUCGUCAGCUCGUGCCGUGAGGUGUCAGGUUAAGUCCUAUAACGAGCGCAACCCGUAUGGUUAGUUGCUAGCAGGUCAUGCUGAGAACUCUAGCCAGACUGCCGGUGUAAACCGCGAGGAAGGUGGGGAUGAUGUCAAAUCAUCACGUCC
rnacentral:rRNA from 1 species